GACAUUGGGGAGUGGCGGGGAUCAUGGUGAGUCUUGGCCAGGGGGUCAGCAGGUGCUUGGCUCCAGCCUACUGUUGUCCAAUCUCCUGGAAUCCAGACUUACAUAAAUCUGUUUUUCAAUGCUAGCAACUAAUUCACAAAAACUAAAACCAUCCUGCAGACCUGUUUGCAUUCACUGCUGUCUGCCUAGGGCGCUCACCCUAGGCCAGCAGAGCAGGGCUUCCCCCAGCUCAGCCUGGGGGAGCUGGGCUCUUACCCGGGAGACAGGAAGACUGGGGGCUGAGACUGGUGCACCCAGCCACUCAGGGCCCUACCACCCAUGGUUGCCUCUGCAGGAAGGUGAUGCGCUGGGCGCCAUGGAGAAGCUGUGCCGGCAGCUGACAUACCACCUCAGCCCCCACUCCCAGUGGAGGCGGCACCGGGGGCUGGUGAAAAGGAAGCCACAGGCCUGGUCCCUGCAGGCUGGGGAAGGAAGGGCUGUCUCCCUCCCUCAUGGAGAAGAAAGAACUCUAGUGCCUCCUUCUAUUCUGGACCUGCCCCCCACCCCCGCCCACAACCAGGAGAUGGAUCCUGGAGAGGCGCAUUCCCAGGUGGAUGAACAGUCCUCAAGGCUGUCCUGGCCGGGAACCCCCCAGACAACACAGUGGACCUGUCGGGCAUCCCAUUGACCUCCCGAGACCUGGAGCGGGUGACCAGCUACCUACAGCGCUGUGGGGAGCAGGUAGACAGCGUGGAGCUGGGCUUCACAGGCCUCACGGACGACAUGGUCCUGCAGCUGCUGCCAGCACUCAGCACCCUGCCCCGCCUCACCACACUGGCACUCAAUGGCAACCGGCUGACCCGGGCCGUGCUGCGCGACCUCACUGACAUCCUUAAGGAUCCCAGCAAGUUCCCUAAUGUCACGUGGAUUGACCUGGGCAACAAUGUUGACAUCUUCUCCUUGCCCCAGCCCUUCCUGCUCAGCCUGCGCAAGCGCUCCCCAAAGCAGGGCCACCUACCCACCAUCCUGGAGCUGGGUGAGGGCCCGGGCAGUGGGGAGGAGGUCCAGGAAGGGACAGUAGACCAGGAGGACCCUGGAGGGGGCCCUGUGGCACCUGCCGAAGACCACCAUGAGGGCAAGGAGACUGUAGCUGCAGCUCAGACGUGACAUGGAAGUGAAGGGCCUCACCAGGGAGUCCUUGUUGGGUAGAAUGGGCAAGGCAGGCAGGGGAGGGCGCUUCUCCUAUCAGGUGGGUUAAGGAUAUUGCCAAAAAUUGGCCUGGGCCACCCACCGACAGACAGGCAAACCAUAGCAUCUGGGGAAGGGGAUUUGUGUUAAAACUUCCCGUUGGUCCUCUCCAUCUGCCCCCUAUCCCAUUAUCUGCCAUUUGGCUCUUAAGUCAUCCCAGGCCCCAGAGAACCCUCUCAGCUCAGCCCAUGGCCUUCCCCAAAGACUUGUGGAAAUGGGCACAUGGCUGGAGGUACUGGAAGCCUGAGCCAUUGUGAACACCAAGAGCUUUCCCCCAGAAAAAGAAUACAGUAGGGCCCCUACAGGCACUGCAUUACAUUUUUCAUUUAAGGGAACAAGCUCCAACCAGAUGAACAUGUCCCCACUCAAGGAAGGUGGGAAUCUUUAGCAAAAUUCCUGUAAUUCUAGAACCUGGGGGAAGGGGUUGGUUGCCAGAGACCCCAGUUCCAUCUAUGCUAGGGGUGGACUGAACGUGGUGUACCUCCUUAUGGAGACCCAGCCCUAUUUCUGAGGCCCACCUUGAUUCUAGGCAUCUGCCCAUAGGACCAGCAGCUAUCACUAUGCCCUUUGACAGAGCAGCCUAUGAUGCCAUGUGGCAGUGCUCAGGACAGACAUGGUGCCCAUGCAUACAGGCAUAAAGUCCUGUUCAGAAAUCCCCUAUCUACCUUCCCUACCCACCGCUGGCUGAAAAACUACCAGACUUCUAUGUGGGCUCUGAUGUCCUUAGCAUGCAGGCCAAGUGACAGACCUGGCUUCCUUCUUGUCACUUGCCAGUAUGACUUCACUGACAGAGACAGGCCAUAAGAACUCUUUCCCCAUAAUUCUUAAGUAAUCCACCAAUACAUUCCAGAAAACUGACCUCAGAAGGUGGGCUUUAAAACCUUAAAAACCUAGGACCAUGAAGGAGUCCAAUCCCUUGGCAGAUCCAACAAGAUGGCUGGGGAGAUGGAGAAACAAACUGGGGGCUCCCAAAGGAGCCUAACUUAGCAAAGGUUCUCAUCUUAUACCCUCCCUUUACCCAAAUGCUCUCCUACUGAAAGGGCCCUACCAGUUAAGGGAUCUCUUCUAAAUAACAGGCAACCCCUAGAUCCAAGUAGUUCAGUCCAGGGAGACUGGGAGCCAAUCACUCUUGAACCUUGUGGGCAAACAGUAUGGGGGAGGACCCGCUUGACAGGCCUUGGCAAGCAAGAUUCCAACACAGGAAGACAGCAAGAUGGUGUCUUCUAAGGAAUGGUGCAAUGCUGCAGGAGCUGGAACAAAGCUACACCAAGGAUCAGAGCACAGAGCAGCAGGGGCCGAAAUUGAGGAGGCCUUAAAUGCUUUGAAUUUUUGCCUUCAGUCUAAAGCUGUAGAAUAGGGGAUUAAGAGCUUAGGCUGACCACAGGGAAGUUUACAAGCUAGAGCAAAUAUCUGGACUGCUAAUAUCUGACAAUAGUAGGCGAAAUUUACUUUUUCUUCAAAUACACAUUUUCAAGAAUUGACACCCAAGACCAUCCUUUAUUGUAGUAUUAGUUCAUGGUAACUGCAUGAAAAAACAUUUCAGGAGGAAUUUACAAUUUCCAGCUUAAAGAACUUGCCCACCAACAUAACCAAUUUAUGAAAGUCAGUUCAUUAAAAGGUAUAGAACCUCUUGUUGGGCAUGAUGGCAAGGGACAAAGCUACAACUUGGCCUGUGCCUUUGGAAGCUGAGGCAGGAGGACCAUCUAAGCCCAGGAGCUUGAGACCAGCCUGAGCAACAUAGAGAAUCCGUCUCAACAAAAAAAAAUUUUAGCCAGGUGUGCUGUGAGCUGUAGUCCCAGCUACAAGGUGGGAGGAUUGCUUAGGCCUGGGUGAUUGAGGCUGCAAUGAGCUGUGAUUGUGCCACCACACUCCAGCCUGGGCAACACAGCAAGACUGUCUCAAAAAAAAAAAAAAC
rnacentral:sRNA from 1 species